rnacentral:pre_miRNA from 1 species
CCAACCAGUCGGAUCGACCAGCGGAGAGCCCGGGAUCGCUAGAUCUAGCUUAUGGCCUCGGCCUCACCGUUGGCUGAUGCGGCGGCAAUC